UGGGGGGGGGCGCGGGGAUGGCGGUGAGGGGAGGUGAAGGGGGUGAGGGGGGUGUGGGGGGGCGGCGGACCGCGGCCGUGCCGCCUCACCCCGCCCUCCCGGCGCCAUGUGGCGGGGCCGCGGCGUGGCCGGGGAGAGCCCCGCGGGCGGGCAGGGGGCGAGGCUGGGCCCGGCCCCAUCCCCGCGUCUCUUCUGUGGCGGUUGGGGGGGGUCCCCCCUCUCUCUCCCUCCCAUCCCCUCCGCGGGGUUGCUCGCUGGAAGGGGGUUUUCAGGUGUUCAUCCGGCGCCGUGAGGGCUCUCUCCUUCUUUCUUCAAUUCUAAAAAAGCGCUGACCGCCACCACCGUUUGUCUUUUGUACCCCCCCUGCGUGGAAGGAGGCUUUCUGCGAGGAGCAAGGUACUCUGUAUGCGGCAACACACAUCUGAGCACGCAUCGGAGGGCUUGGACACUUCCCACCUUGAAUUUCAGUUACUUCAGCUCAACUGGACGCUCAACGUGAAAAUACCUCUAUUAUAUACCGUCAGAUACACUCCUUCCAUCCUAUUUAUGUCAAAGUAAUCUUUAUCCCUUUAGCUAGACCAUGCCAUUUCCUUGUCUUUUACAUAGACCAUACCAUUUCCUGAGUAAAUCUUAUACCUUGGACAGUUGUAUGUGAUGCACCCCCUUUGUCAUAACAAGUACUUUUUUUUAACAUGCCUUGGUAUAUUAACAUUUUUGUUUAUGAAAAAUACUUUAACAGGUAUUUUGAGGUGCAUAACACACUCUAGAUUGCCCGUCCAAAAGAAGACUUGUUUUUUCCCAUUUUUGUCAGUUGAGCAGCUCAGAUUAGCAACUUUUAAAAAAGGCUGUUUGAAGAAAGCAUUAGUCUUAAAUUGGCCUUUAACUUACUCAUUUUUAAUACACUUUAGAAGAAAAAAAUGCACACAUUGAUUAGAAGGCUGAGCAGGAACUAAGCUCUUACAUAAACUGAAACUGGCACAUGAAAGCGGUGCUAACCUCUGCUUCGUGCAGUGCAGCUUCAAAAACUAACAUGCUGCACUGUUUUUGGUGUCCUAGGUCAACCACAGGAGACUUUUAAAAAUGUUUAUUUUUUUUAAAGUUUUAAAGCCUGUUAAAAACAUGUUAAAAAUGUCUUUCUAGACAGCCACCCCUAAAAGCUACAGAUGCUACAAUGUAACUGUUUUUAGCAUUGUAUGGAAAAAGAAUUUCAUCAGACAAACUUUGGUCUCCUGGUGCUUUCUGUUACUCCAGCAGUUUGAAUGCUGUCCCCUGCUUGGAAGUUGGUACUUCUUCAGUUUCAAAACAUACUGCUUCUUGGAAUAAUCUUGCCAUAAACUUUUAUAAUUCAUUGGGCUGUCCUGAGACAAAGCUGCAGAACUGCAGUUGUGAUGGCUCUUCCAAAUACAUCGAAAUGAAUGUAUUUUCUCUUGUAUUGGUUAGUCUUUUUUCCUCUUUUUGCUGGCAGUUGACAUCUCCAUGGGUAGUACUAGUAUCUGGUGUUCAGGAGUAAAACUGUGCCAAUAAAUACCUAUAAAAAUUGUUUCAACAAGUCACACCUAAACCACGUUCUGGACUGCUGCCACAUUAACGUGUGUGUUUCAAGGGGAAUACUGGAAAUGAAGUUUUUAAUUCCAGGCCCUGGAAUUGCUGAUGCAGUGGUGGCUGAUUGGCAUGUUCCCUGCACACGUGCUUCUGCAGUGUCAGUGCUUCCUGCUUGCCCUGCUCACCAUCUCCCCUACCAUGCAGCGGUAUGUUCUGCAAGAGGAUGCCGACCACCAACUUUCAAAAUAGCUUCUUCCACUUUCUUCCCUAUAAGUCACAACUAUUCUUUUCACCUUCAACUCUUAAGUCUCCUUAACAGUCCCCCCACUUCAGCGUUCUAAGUGUUUUACUUCAUGUGUUAGCAAUGGGGAUGAAUUUUCUGUUAAUUCAAAGUAAAAAAAAAA